GAUAAACGCUGGCGGCGUGCCUAACACAUGCAAGUCGAACGUCCUCUCUCGCAAGAGAGAGGGAGUGGCGGACGGGUGAGUAACACAUGGGUCACCUACCCUUAAGUGAGGAAUACCGGCGAGAAAUCGCCGACAAGACCGCAUAGGCUCUCUCUUUUGCAAAGAGAGAGCAAAGCUUCGCAAGAGGCGCUUGAGGAUGGGCCUGUGGCCGAUUAGCUGGUUGGAGGGUAAUGGCUUACCAAGGCGACGAUCGGUAGCUGGUCUGAGAGGACGAUCAGCCACACUGGGAUUGAGAACGGCCCAGAC
rnacentral:rRNA from 1 species